UUAUAGUAAAAGCUGAAUCCAGUUGUAUGACAUUGGAGCGGGGGAUUAUCAUUGGGGUGAAUCACGUGGCUCUUUCACGUGUAGGGCUAACACCUACUGCCCGAAUCCGUCAACUAACCUCGUAAGCUAAGAAGGGUGGAUAU
rnacentral:sRNA from 2 species